AAGUCCCGCAAGGGAUGAGUAGAGUGGCAAACGGGUGAGUAACACGUGGGUGACCUGCCUUCGAGCGGGGGAUAACGUCCCGAAAGGGACGCUAAUACCGCAUGACAUCCUGCCUUUGAAGAGGCGGAGAUCAAAGCUGGGGAUCGCAAGACCUAGCACUUGAAGAGGGGCCCGCGCCUGAUUAGCUAGUUGGUGGGGUAACGGCUCACCAAGGCAACGAUCAGUAUCCGGCCUGAGAGGGCGGACGGACACACUGGGACUGAGACACGGCCCAGACUCCUACGGGAGGCAGCAGUGGGGAAUUGUUCGCAAUGGGCGCAAGCCUGACGACGCAACGCCGCGUGGAGGAUGAAGACCUUCGGGUCGUAAACUCCUUUCGAUCGAGACGAAUGGCUUCCGGGUGAACAAUCCGGGAGAAUGACGGUACCGAGAGAAGAAGCCCCGGCUAACUCCGUGCCAGCAGCCGCGGUAAUACGGGGGGGGCAAGCGUUGUUCGGAAUUACUGGGCGUAAAGGGCUCGUAGGCGGCCAACUAAGUCAGUCGUGAAAUCCCUCGGCUUAACCGGGGAACUGCAUCUGAUACUGGAUGGCUUGAGAUUGGGAGAGGGAUGCGGAAUUCCAGGUGUAGCGGUGAAAUGCGUAGAUAUCUGGAGGAACACCGGUGGCGAAGGCGGCAUCCUGGACCAACACUGACGCUGAGGAGCGAAAGCC
rnacentral:rRNA from 1 species